rnacentral:rRNA from 1 species
GGUUACUGCUAUCGGUGUUCGCCUAAGCCAUGCGAGUCAUAUGUUCUUCGGAACAUGGCGUACUGCUCAGUAACACGUGGAUAACCUGCCCUUGGGUCCGGCAUAACCCCGGGAAACUGGGGAUAAUUCCGGAUAACGCACAUAUGCUGGAAUGCUUUAUGCGUCAAAUGGAUUCGUCCGCCCAAGGAUGGGUCUGCGGCCUAUCAGGUAGUAGUGGGUGCAAUGUACCUACUAGCCUACGACGGGUACGGGUUGUGAGAGCAAGAGCCCGGAGAUGGAUUCUGAGACAUGAAUCCAGGCCCUACGGGGCGCAGCAGGCGCGAAAACUUUACAAUGCGGGAAACCGUGAUAAGGGGACACCGAGUGCCAGCAUCAUAUGCUGGCUGUCCGGGUGUGUAAAAUACACCUGUUAGCAAGGGCCGGGCAAGACCGGUGCCAGCCGCCGCGGUAACACCGGCGGCCCGAGUGGUGAUCGAGAUUAUUGGGUCUAAAGGGUCCGUAGCCGGUUUGGUCAGUCCUCCGGGAAAUCUGACGGCUUAACCGUUAGGCUUUCGGGGGAUACUGCCAGACUUGGAACCGGGAGAGGUAAGAGGUACUACAGGGGUAGGAGUGAAAUCUUGUAAUCCCUGUGGGACCACCUGUGGCGAAGGCGUCUUACCAGAACGGGUUCGACGGUGAGGGACGAAAGCUGGGGGCACGAACCGGAUUAGAUACCCGGGUAGUCCCAGCCGUAAACGAUGCUCGCUAGGUGUCAGGCAUGGCGCGACCGUGUCUGGUGCCGCAGGGAAGCCGUGAAGCGAGCCACCUGGGAAGUACGGCCGCAAGGCUGAAACUUAA